rnacentral:miRNA from 1 species
AUUCUCUGCGGGCUGGAACCAG